UUUAUGGGAUUAGCCAUCUCUGGUGCACCUGAUUGGUUGGAUGGAUAUGUAGCUAGAAAGAUGAAGAUCAAUUCAGUAGUGGGUUCUUAUCUUGAUCCUCUAGCUGACAAGGUUCUUAUCGGAUGUGUUGCUUUGUCGAUGAUACAUGGCGAUCUUUUGCACCCUGGACUUGUCGGACUU